rnacentral:rRNA from 1 species
GAACGCUGGCGGCAUGCCUUACACAUGCAAGUCGAACGGCAGGCACGGGAGCAAUCCUGGUGGCGAGUGGCGAACGGGUGAGUAAUAUAUCGGAACGUGCCCAGUCUGGGGGAUAACGUAGCGAAAGCUACGCUAAUACCGCAUACGAUCUACGGAUGAAANCGGGGGAUCGCAAGACCUCGCGCGAUUGGAGCGGCCGAUAUCAGAUUAGGUAGUUGGUGAGGUAAAGGCUCACCAAGCCAACGAUCUGUAGCUGGUCUGAGAGGACGACCAGCCACACUGGAACUGAGACACGGUCCAGACUCCUACGGGAGGCAGCAGUGGGGAAUUUUGGACAAUGGACGCAAGUCUGAUCCAGCCAUUCCGCGUGCAGGAUGAAGGCCCUCGGGUUGUAAACUGCUUUUGUACGGAACGAAAAGGUUUCUAUUAAUACUAGGAGCUCAUGACGGUACCGUAAGAAUAAGCACCGGCUAACUACGUG